UACGGAGGGUGCAAGAGUUAUCCGGAUUUACUGGGUUUAAAGGGUGCGUAGGUGGGUUGGUAAGUCAGUGGUGAAAUACUUUCGCUUAACGAAGGAACUGCCAUUGAUACUACCAGUCUUGAAUACAGUGGAGGUAGGCGGAAUGCGUCAUGUAGCGGUGAAAUGCUUAGAUAUGACGCAGAACACCAAUUGCGAAGGCAGCUUGCUACACUGUUAUUGACACUGAGGCACGAAAGCGUGGGGAUCAAACAGG
rnacentral:rRNA from 1 species